CCUUCUGCUGCAGCUCCCGAACUCAGGCUCGGUCUCCGACUCGGCCCCCUACGCCCGCUCAGUGUCACUGCCUCUCGCUCUGGGAAAAUGGCGUCGACGGCGGCGGCGGCGGCCGCGGCGGCGGCGGCGGCGGCGGCGGCGGCAAGUGCACGGGGCCCGCCCGUCCCGCUCCGCAGGGGCAGAGGGGGAGGGGAUGAAGCUGCCCGGCGCCAUUUUGCUUGUGGGCUGCCGCCCGCCGUUGCCUCUCCGCGGAGGCUCGAAGAUAGCAAACUGGAGGCGGUGAGGGGGACGGAAUCUCUUGUCUUUCUGCAACAGAUGCAACUCAACAAUCCACGGAAGGUUUGAGAAAGUGUCGGUGUUCGGUGGGAUUGGUUCUUUCCCCCUUCCCCCCAAUGGCCCUCAAGUCUGGAUAUAGGUGAGCUUGGGCAUGCCUCUAUUGGGUGCACGGACAAGGACACAGGGCCUGGGAACGACCUCCCUCCCGUCACCCUCCGAAAGUGAUACACUUUCUCCCCCUCCCAAACAACCCCAGCCCCGGCUCCGCGUCUCUCUCCCUCUCCUCCCCCAGCCCAGUCUGGCCUCAGCGCUAGGUGAACCCGGUUGGGGUGUCACUCGACGCCCACUAGGGGCCGAGGAGGCUCCAGUGCGCAGGCUCCGGGCACCGGAUAAAAGCGGAGCUGGCGACUCCAGCGCUGUCUCUAUGGAGGAGCGAGAAACGGAAGAGGUCGGGGGGACAAGCAGCAGGAAAAAUGCAGCCACCGUCAGCGCCGCCUCCUUGCCACCGUAUUUCGGGGUAAAAAGCUGCCGUUGCCGUCGGUGCAGUUGCCGUCGCUGCCUCCUAUACUUCUCUUGGUCUCGGGGAAGGAUUUCCCCACCGGUGGGACAUUGUGCGGGGAGGGGAGUGGGAAUUACUGUACGUGGCGGUGAUUAAACGAGGGAGGGACAGAGACAGUGAUCUCGAAGAAAAAAGGGGGAAACCAAAAAAUAAAGGGUUUCCCCACUAAAGUGACACGGCUAUUACGGCUCUUGUUUUCGGGGUCUUUCCCCGAAAUGGUUUCCGUCUUCCCCUUGCCCCGCAGCGACCCGGAGCGCGGGGGGA